GUAGUAUUCCCUCGUCCCAAAAUUCUUGUCUUACAUUUGUUUAGAUACGGAUGUAUCUAACACUAAAAUGUAACUAGAUACAUUCGUAUUUAGACAAAUUUAAGACAAUAAUUUUGGGACGGAGGGAGUACAAA
rnacentral:pre_miRNA from 1 species